rnacentral:misc_RNA from 1 species
CUGUGGAUUUUUCUUCUGUCCCCGGCGCUGGCCAUCGUGCUUGUGUACGUGCCUCUCUCUUUCUCUAUGCGCAUCGUUCACCCAACUGGGUGCCAUGUACACGCGUGAUGUCAGUGACCGCAUUAGCGGCAUCUCCGCAGCGGACCUUGCGCAGCGUUUGGUCGAGAUGUCGGCAAGGAACACUGCACAAGAUGAUGCCUUUACCAAGAGCGUUUCCCAGCGGCCCCUACCACACUGUGUGAGUGCACUGCUGUGGGAUGCGAAAUGCGCUGGGGCAGCCCCGCCGCGGACGGCACUGUUGCGCGGUGAUGUGGUGGACAUGACGUCGUCUGUGUCGGAUGCGACGCUCUCUUGCGUCGCACUUUCACACAAUGUGCGAUUUCGCUUUGCCCGCUCACGGCACAGGCGCCUGACAGGGAUCCUCUCAUCGGCAGCGGCGUCCUUGCCGCUUCGAAUAUGCCGAGUCGGCGUGACACACUUCUACUGGAUGGACGAGUGCGCGCCGGGAGUAUCGUACGACGACGAAUCGGUGCUGUCGACGGUGCUCCAAAAACGGAUUGUGCAAUGGGCCGUAUGCACCUUCGCACGGAAUCCACUGUUGCGCAACAUAUCCCUGCAAGCCCUUGAAGCCGUUUUUCCCGCGCUGCUUGCUUUCUCGCCGCGCGAACGCGAGGAGCUUCUUAAGCAAGCCGCAGAGUUCCUCGGUCAAGGGACACUCAUUUGGUACGGUGGGGCGAUGAUCAAGCAGUUCCACGAAAGCGCCGCCUCACUCGCUCUUCCCCUACUCACAUCCAGUGAGGAACGUUGCUCCGCGGCGCUCUUAUUUGCGCUCUCAACGGCGCAGGAAAUUAUGGGUGCUCGACGUGCUGACGCCGCACAGGCACUUCGCUUUCUUCUCGAGGUGUACGGCGCGCGCUGCGUGGCGCUAUCGCCAGCGCUGACAACCGCAACGCUGCUCGUGUCCCGGGCCAUGGUGCCGCUCUGCACCCGCCGCUGCUUUGGAGCAGGAUCACGUCAGCACAAUCUACUCCAGCCCUACCUCUUCCCAUUAUCCUGCGCAGCUGUGGAGGCGCUGCCGUGGAUUCUACACAGCACCCACACCUCCUCCCCCGAGCUCAACCGAGAGCUCGUACGCCGUACCCGUGAAGCCGCAGCUGCAGUGCUCACCACGGCAGCGCCGUUCGCUGCCACCACUGCUCAAAAGCGUCAGUCACACGAGGACGACGCCACCGCAUUCUUCUCCGCAAAUCACGCGCUCCAAAUACGCCGCGACACACUCGUUGCUCAUUUCAGUAGCGACGUCCCCUCUUCGUUAUCCGCACUGACGGCGGCCGACAGCGGUGUCGUGGCGCGUUCACGCCUGCUGGAAGCGGCGCCCAAAUGGUGGGAGCAAGCGGCGAAAGCGAGCAACAGCGACGUGUCUCGUGACGAGGCAGAGUUGAAGAUCAAUGUGAAGGCCGCGGCCGCAGCGCUGCGCGAGCCCCACGGCGGUGACCACGCGCUGCUCGCCGUUAUGCACCGCACGCGCAAACGUCAGCGCAACGGCGAGCAGCUCACGGCACAGACGGUGGAAACGGCGCUCGAGGGUGCGUCGAUUCGGUUGAAGCGACGCGCCCUCCUACAGCUCGUGGACAUUUUGGCGCUCAAUGCGCACAGCGAGGACCGCCACGGGAAGGCGCGCCAGUACCUCGAGCAGCACCACGUAGCCGAGGCGCAGAUCCGCGACUUCACCAUGCUUUUGUCGUCCACGCGCAAGACGUGAGGUGCACACGUCGCUCCAUCCACCCACUCACGCGUCUGCGAGGGCCGGUUGCUGCAAGACACCCACAGAAGGAAACGUUUUCCUUUGUGGUUUGAGGUGCCCGCUGUGUCUGCCCUACAGCGUGUGUUCGGCCGCACUCUGCCUCUCCUGCCGCAGGAGGCGCCGGAGGGGGGAGGGGGGGGGGCACAUCCAGUAGUGCAAAGCAGCCGCACACACACGCGGUACAGCGAUGCGCCGCCUUCGUCGUCUCGGCACACUCUCCACGCCAAACUCGACCCACCGGCUGAGCAGGUCGCCACACAGUGCAGCCCUCCGGGGGGUUCGGCCUCCCCCGCCAGCAGGCAGUGCGGGGGCCACCUGGAAUGCGUUCGAGCCACGUUGCCACCUUCGCCUAUCGUAUGGAUGGCGCAAGCUUGUUCACCGCCGCAGGUCGCUCUGAUCUCCCUACGCCGUAGGCGCUUGGCCACGUCACCGCCAGCAGUGGCGCUGCACUCGCAUGGGGUUGGGGGAGGGGAGUGUGGGGCUGCUCAGCUCCUCCCCACACAGAGCACGGCUGCUGGAGGCUGAGGGGCCACGCACUGUGGUGUUAUCCCACCCUUUCCCCGUCCCUCUCCUCUCCCCCCAUCAUGAGGGAAAAAAAAGCAAGUGCAAGACAGAAAAAUGCGACAAACGUGGAUGUCCGUUUAGCACCCGGUUCUGCUCUCUCAGUCUGAGAGUCGGCGCUGCCGUGUCUCGCUCAUUCGCACCGCAAUCCAUCGGCGCGAGCGAAGUCUGACGGCAACCUCGCUUUUACCCCCUCCUCCCUUGUGCCUUUCGGGCGGCGAUGGUGAGUACAUUGGCGCGCUACUCCACCUCACAUCUUGCUUCUUGAUUCGCCUUCUCUCUGGCUGCCCAACCUCCUUGUUCAACAG